AUUGAACGCUGGCGGCAUGCCUUACACAUGCAAGUCGAACGGCAGCGGGGGAGAAGCUUGCUUUUCCUGCCGGCGAGUGGCGAACGGGUGAGUAAUACAUCGGAACGUGCCCUGUAGUGGGGGAUAACUAGUCGAAGGAUUAGCUAAUACCGCAUACGACCUGAGGGUGAAAGUGGGGGACCGCAAGGCCUCAUGCUAUAGGAGCGGCCGAUGUCUGAUUAGCUAGUUGGUGGGGUAAAGGCCUACCAAGGCGACGAUCAGUAGCUGGUCUGAGAGGACGAUCAGCCAAACUGGGACUGAGACACGGCCCAGACUCCUACGGGAGGAAGCAGUGGGGAAUUUUGGACAAUGGGCGAAAGCCUGAUCCAGCAAUGCCGCGUGUGUGAAGAAGGCCUUCGGGUUGUAAAGCACUUUUGUCCGGAAAGAAAUGGCUCUGGUUAAUACCUGGGGUCGAUGACGGUACCGGAAGAAUAAGGACCGGCUAACUACGUGCCAGCAGCCGCCGUAA
rnacentral:rRNA from 1 species